GAGAGAGGCCCGCAGCACCGAAAACUGCUAAUUUUCGCCCCCUUUUGGUUGGACUCCAAAGCUCACUCG
rnacentral:tRNA from 1 species